UGUUGGGGAAGACCGCUGAUGGCAACGA
rnacentral:sRNA from 1 species